GACGAACGCUGGCGGCGUGCUUAACACAUGCAAGUCGAGCGGUAAGGCCCUUUCGGGGGUACACGAGCGGCGAACGGGUGAGUAACACGUGGGUGACCUGCCCUCAGCUCUGGGAUAAGCCUGGGAAACCGGGUCUAAUACUGGAUAUGACUCCAUGACGCAUGUUGUGGGGUGGAAAGCCUUGUGCGGCUGAGGAUGGGCCCGCGGCCUAUCAGCUUGUUGGUGGGGUGANGGCCUACCAAGGCGACGACGGGUAGCCGGCCUGAGAGGGCGACCGGCCACACUGGGACUGAGACACGGCCCAGACUCCUACGGGAGGCAGCAGUGGGGAAUCUUGCGCAAUGGGUGAAAGCCUGACGCAGCGACGCCGCGUGAGGGAUGACGGCCUGGUGU
rnacentral:rRNA from 1 species